rnacentral:rRNA from 1 species
UCCUGACUGACCGAUAGUGAACCAGUACCGUGAGGGAAAGGCGAAAAGAACCCCGGCGAGGGGAGUGAAAAAGAACCUGAAACCGUGUACGUACAAGCAGUGGGAGCACGCUUAGGCGUGUGACUGCGUACCUUUUGUAUAAUGGGUCAGCGACUUAUAUUCUGUAGCAAGGUUAACCGAAUAGGGGAGCCGAAGGGAAACCGAGUCUUAACUGGGCGUUAAGUUGCAGGGUAUAGACCCGAAACCCGGUGAUCUAGCCAUGGGCAGGUUGAAGGUUGGGUAACACUAACUGGAGGACCGAACCGACUAAUGUUGAAAAAUUAGCGGAUGACUUGUGGCUGGGGGUGAAAGGCCAAUCAAACCGGGAGAUAGCUGGUUCUCCCCGAAAGCUAUUUAGGUAGCGCCUCGUGAAUUCAUCUCCGGGGGUAGAGCACUGUUUCGGCAAGGGGGUCAUCCCGACUUACCAACCCGAUGCAAACUGCGAAUACCGGAGAAUGUUAUCACGGGAGACACACGGCGGGUGCUAACGUCCGUCGUGAAGAGGGAAACAACCCAGACCGCCAGCUAAGGUCCCAAAGUCAUGGUUAAGUGGGAAACGAUGUGGGAAGGCCCAGACAGCCAGGAUGUUGGCUUAGAAGCAGCCAUCAUUUAAAGAAAGCGUAAUAGCUCACUGGUCGAGUCGGCCUGCGCGGAAGAUGUAACGGGGCUAAACCAUGCACCGAAGCUGCGGCAGCGACGCUUAUGCGUUGUUGGGUAGGGGAGCGUUCUGUAAGCCUGCGAAGGUGUGCUGUGAGGCAUGCUGGAGGUAUCAGAAGUGCGAAUGCUGACAUAAGUAACGAUAAAGCGGGUGAAAAGCCCGCUCGCCGGAAGACCAAGGGUUCCUGUCCAACGUUAAUCGGGGCAGGGUGAGUCGACCCCUAAGGCGAGGCCGAAAGGCGUAGUCGAUGGGAAACAGGUUAAUAUUCCUGUACUUGGUGUUACUGCGAAGGGGGGACGGAGAAGGCUAUGUUGGCCGGGCGACGGUUGUCCCGGUUUAAGCGUGUAGGCUGGUUUUCCAGGCAAAUCCGGAAAAUCAAGGCUGAGGCGUGAUGACGAGGCACUACGGUGCUGAAGCAACAAAUGCCCUGCUUCCAGGAAAAGCCUCUAAGCAUCAGGUAACAUCAAAUCGUACCCCAAACCGACACAGGUGGUCAGGUAGAGAAUACCAAGGCGCUUGAGAGAACUCGGGUGAAGGAACUAGGCAAAAUGGUGCCGUAACUUCGGGAGAAGGCACGCUGAUAUGUAGGUGAAGUCCCUUGCGGAUGGAGCUGAAAUCAGUCGAAGAUACCAGCUGGCUGCAACUGUUUAUUAAAAACACAGCACUGUGCAAACACGAAAGUGGACGUAUACGGUGUGACGCCUGCCCGGUGCCGGAAGGUUAAUUGAUGGGGUCAGCGCAAGCGAAGCUCUUGAUCGAAGCCCCGGUAAACGGCGGCCGUAACUAUAACGGUCCUAAGGUAGCGAAAUUCCUUGUCGGGUAAGUUCCGACCUGCACGAAUGGCGUAAUGAUGGCCAGGCUGUCUCCACCCGAGACUCAGUGAAAUUGAACUCGCUGUGAAGAUGCAGUGUACCCGCGGCAAGACGGAAAGACCCCGUGAACCUUUACUAUAGCUUGACACUGAACAUUGAGCCUUGAUGUGUAGGAUAGGUGGGAGGCUUUGAAGUGUGGACGCCAGUCUGCAUGGAGCCGGCCUUGAAAUACCACCCUUUAAUGUUUGAUGUUCUAACGUGGACCCGUGAUCCGGGUUGCGGACAGUGUCUGGUGGGUAGUUUGACUGGGGCGGUCUCCUCCUAAAGAGUAACGGAGGAGCACGAAGGUUGGCUAAUCCUGGUCGGACAUCAGGAGGUUAGUGCAAUGGCAUAAGCCAGCUUGACUGCGAGCGUGACGGCGCGAGCAGGUGCGAAAGCAGGUCAUAGUGAUCCGGUGGUUCUGAAUGGAAGGGCCAUCGCUCAACGGAUAAAAGGUACUCCGGGGAUAACAGGCUGAUACCGCCCAAGAGUUCAUAUCGACGGCGGUGUUUGGCACCUCGAUGUCGGCUCAUCACAUCCUGGGGCUGAAGUAGGUCCCAAGGGUAUGGCUGUUCGCCAUUUAAAGUGGUACGCGAGCUGGGUUUAGAACGUCGUGAGACAGUUCGGUCCCUAUCUGCCGUGGGCGCUGGAGAACUGAGGGGGGCUGCUCCUAGUACGAGAGGACCGGAGUGGACGCAUCACUGGUGUUCGGGUUGUCAUGCCAAUGGCACUGCCCGGUAGCUAAAUGCGGAAGAGAUAAGUGCUGAAAGCAUCUAAGCACGAAACUUGCCCCGAGAUGAGUUCUCCCUGACCCUUUAAGGGUCCUGAAGGAACGUUGAAGACGACGACG